ACUACGGGGGGCAGCAGUGGGGAAUAUUGCACAAUGGGGGAAACCCUGAUGCAGCGACGCCGCGUGAGUGAAGAAGUAUUUCGGUAUGUAAAGCUCUAUCAGCAGGGAAGAAAAUGACGGUACCUGAUUAAGAAGCCCCGGCUAACUACGGGCCAGCAGCCGCGGUAAUACGUAGGGGGCAAGCGUUAUCCGGAUUUACUGGGUGUAAAGGGAGCGUAGCCGGCCGCGCACGUCUGAAGUGAAAUGCCGGGGCUUAACCCCGGAACUGCUUUGGAAACUGUGCAGCUAGAGUGCAGGAGAGGUAAGUGGAAUUCCUUGUGUAGCGGUGAAAUUCUUAGAUAUUAGGAGGAACACCAGUGGCGAAGGCGGCUUACUGGACUGUACCUGACGUUGAGGCUCGAAAGCGUGGGGAGCAAACAGGAUUAGAUACCCGGGUAGUC
rnacentral:rRNA from 1 species